ACUCCUACGGGAGGCAGCAGUGGGGAAUUUUGGACAAUGGGCGAAAGCCUGAUCCAGCAAUGCCGCGUGUGUGAAGAAGGCCUUCGGGUUGUAAAGCACUUUUGUCCGGAAAGAAAUCCUUGGCUCUAAUACAGUCGGGGGAUGACGGUACCGGAAGAAUAAGCACCGGCUAACUACGUGCCAGCAGCCGCGGUAAUACGUAGGGUGCGAGCGUUAAUCGGAAUUACUGGGCGUAAAGCGUGCGCAGGCGGUUUGCUAAGACCGAUGUGAAAUCCCGGGCUCAACCUGGGAACUGCAUUGGUGACUGGCAGGCUAGAGUAUGGCAGAGGGGGGUAGAAUUCCACGUGUAGCAGUGAAAUGCGUAGAGAUGUGGAGGAAUACCGAUGGCGAAGGCAGCCCCCUGGGCCAAUACUGACGCUCAUGCACGAAAGCGUGGGGAGCAAACAGGAUUAGAAACCCCAGUAGUCCC
rnacentral:rRNA from 1 species